UUUUUUUUUUUUUCAAUUUAGCCCUUGUGCCAACUCUCACGUGUCAUGAGACCUAUUGACUUGGAAUCGUUUUUUUAAAACCAUAUUUUAACUUCUCUGAUCCCAAAGUGGAUUCAAGCAGGCAUGGUUGAGAUUGGUGGUUUAUGUACAAUUGUUAUAUAUAUAUUUCUAAAAUCCAUAUAAACGCUAUGGUUGAAAGUUAGGAUGUCCUCUUAUCGUUAAAAAAUGUUCAUAGCACCUCUCAUAAUUCAAACUAAUAUGGAAUUUAAUUAACAACAAGCUUUUCAAAAAUGUUUGUAAUAUCCCCUUAUGAUUCAAUCUAAUUUGGAAUUUAAUCGAUAACAGGCUUGUUACUUAGGAAAGUGAUACCAUUUUUGGGAUGAAAAAACGCAUUUUGUCCAUAUUACACCAUUUUUUUGGUCUCAAAUUCCUUUUUUAAUUCUUUCUUUUGCUUUAUAAUUUUUUUUUCCUUUGUUUCCUUCUUUUCUUCUUCUCCCUAAACCGCUGAAACCCAUCCCACCAGUACCACCACACCACCAACACUGACCACUAUAACCCCCACGUCCACCAACAAAGGAUUCUGAUCAUCAUUGAAUUCUUGCAUUAGUGUGACCCCUUUCAUGUUGGGAUGGUGGUUCUAAAGUAAGCUAACAUAGAAAAGAAUGUUUUGAGUGAAGGUGAGAAUUAACAGGCAAGAGCGGCAAUACGUUGAACAUUAAUUUCAUGGGGAGCCAUGGUCUAAUCCCUAAGUUGCGUCUUCAAAAGGUGGAGAGACUUUGAAUGGUGUUCCUGUCCUGAUCGGCCAGAUUGCUCAAUAUUACUGAAAACUUGUAAUUUGCCACUAAUCUAGAAUAAUGUAAAGGCACUGAAAUGUUAAAACUUGUAAUUUUUCAUUAGUAAUAUCAACAAUGGUUAUGGUUUUUGCCUUUACGUUCCUUUUCUCUUCAAUUUCUUGUUUACCGUUUUAUAUAAGGAGGAGGAUGAACAAAGACCUCUCGCCAUCAAAGUAAUCAAACACUAGAACCAAGUAAAAGCAUUAACAAAGAGGUCUCAACAUUUGCACUCAUAUGUAUGGGAAAAUCAUCAUUUUUGGUGUGGGGGUCUAAAGUAAGCUAACACAGCAAAGACUGUCUGGAUUAAGGUGAGGAUGAAAAGCAAGAUAGCCAAUAGUUUGAACCUUUCCCAGGGAGCAAUGUUAUAGUCUCUCAGUUGGAUCCUCAAAAGGUGGAGGUUUGGAGUGGUGUGCUUGUCCUGGCCGGCCAGAUUGCUCAAGAUUGUAGGCAACUUCUCUUUAUGGUAGGGGUU
rnacentral:lncRNA from 1 species